GGAAAGGUUUUUCUUAAAACCACCUCUAAGUGAAAUCGAGGAAAGU
rfam:Monodelphis domestica chromosome 1, whole genome shotgun sequence.